rnacentral:rRNA from 1 species
AAUGAACGCUGGCGGCAUGCCUAACACAUGCAAGUCGAACGAGAUCUUCGGAUCUAGUGGCGCACGGGUGAGUAACGCGUGGGAACCUACCUUUUAGUACGGGACAACGUUUGGAAACGAACGCCAAUACCGUAUACGCCCUCCGGGGGAAAGGUCAGCCGCUAAAAGAGGGGCCCGCGUCUGGUUAGCUUGUUGGUAAGGUAAUGGCUUACCAAGGCUACGAUCAGUAGCUGGUCCGAGAGGAUGAUCAGCCACACUGGGACUGAGGCACGGCCCAGACUCCUACGGGAGGCAGCAGUGGGGAAUAUUGGACAAUGGAGGCAACUCUGAUCCAGCAAUGCCGCGUGUGUGAUGAAGGCCCUAGGGUUGUAAAGCACUUUCAACGGUGAAGAUGAUGACGGUAGCCGUAGAAGAAGCCCCGGCUAACUUCGUGCCAGCAGCCGCGGUAAUACGAAGGGGGCGAGCGUUAUUCGGAAUUAUUGGGCGUAAAGGGCUCGCAGGCUGCUUGAACAGUUAGACGUGAAAUCCCCGGGCUCAACCUGGGAACUGCGUUUAAUACUAGCAAGCUAGAGAAAUAGAGAGGAAAGUGGAACUCCCAGUGUAGAGGUGAAAUUCGUAGAUAUUGGGAAGAACACCAGUGGCGAAAGCGACUUUCUGGCUAUUUUCUGACGCUGAGGAGCGAAAGCGUGGGGAGCAAACAGGAUUAGAUACCCUGGUAGUCCACGCCGUAAACGAUGUGUGCUAGAUGUUGGAGGGAUACCUUUCAGUGCCGCAGCUAACGCACUAAGCACACCGCCUGGGAAGUACGGUCGCAAGGUUG